AUUGAACGCUGGCGGCAGGCCUAACACAUGCAAGUCGAGCGGUAGAGAGGUGCUUGCAUCUCUUGAGAGCGGCGGACGGGUGAGUAAUGCCUAGGAAUCUGCCUAGUGGUGGGGGAUAACGUUCGGAAACGGACGCUAAUACCGCAUACGUCCUACGGGAGAAAGCGGGGGAUCUUCGGACCUCGCGCCAUUAGAUGAGCCUAGGUCGGAUUAGCUAGUUGGUGAGGUAAUGGCUCACCAAGGCGACGAUCCGUAACUGGUCUGAGAGGAUGAUCAGUCACACUGGAACUGAGACACGGUCCAGACACCUACGGGAGGCAGCAGUGGGGAAUAUUGGACAAUGGGCGAAAGACCUGAUCCAGCCAUGCCGCGUGUGUGAAGAAGGUC
rnacentral:rRNA from 1 species